UACGUAGGGGGCGAGCGUUGUCCGGAAUCAUUGGGCGUAAAGCGCGUGUAGGCGGCCCGAUAAGUCCGCUGUGAAAGUCCAGGGCUCAACCCUGGGAUGCCGGUGGAUACUGUCGGGCUCGAGUCCGGAAGAGGCGACUGGAAUUCCUGGUGUAGCGGUGAAAUGCGCAGAUAUCAGGAGGAACACCGAUGGCGAAGGCAGGUCUCUGGGCCACUACUGACGCUGAGAAGCGAAAGCAUGGGGAGCGAACAGG
rnacentral:rRNA from 1 species